GACCUGGUAGCGAAGUGGUAUCGCGUCCGCCUUAUCUAGUAGUUGUGUUGUAUCAUGUACGCGGAAGUCCCCGGUUCGACCCCGGGCCAGGUCC